UAUUGGACAAUGGGGGGAACCCUGAUCCAGCGACGCCGCGUGAGUGAAGAAGUAUUUCGGUAUGUAAAGCUCUAUCAGCAGGGAAGAAAGAAAUGACGGUACCUGAGUAAGAAGCUCCGGCUAACUACGUGCCAUCAGCCGCGGUAAUACGUAGGGGGCAAGCGUUAUCCGGAUUUACUGGGUGUAAAGGGAGCGUAGACGGCGAUGCAAGUCUGAAGUGAAAGCCCGGGGCGCAACCCCGGGACUGCUUUGGAAACUGUAUGGCUGGAGUGCUGGAGAGGCAAGCGGAAUUCCUAGUGUAGCGGUGAAAUGCGUAGAUAUUAGGAAGAACACCAGUGGCGAAGGCGGCUUGCUGGACAGUAACUGACGUAGAGGCUCGAAAGCGUGGGGAGCAAACAGG
rnacentral:rRNA from 1 species